rnacentral:tRNA from 1 species
GUUAAUGUAGCUUAAUAUUUAAAGCAAAACACUGAAAAUGUCUAGACAGGUCAUCAUCACCCAUAAACA